AAUCAACGCUGGCGGCGUGCCUAACACAUGCAAGUCGAACGCGAAAGGGGCUUCGGCCCUGAGUAGAGUGGCGAACGGGUGAGUAACGCGUGGGUGACCUACCCUCGAGUGGGGGAUAACGUUCCGAAAGGGACGCUAAUACCGCAUGACAUUCCGGGUUCGAAGACCUGGAAAUCAAAGCCGGGGACCGCAAGGCCUGGCGCUCGGGGAGGGGCCCGCGUCUGAUUAGCUAGUUGGCGGGGUAAUGGCCCACCAAGGCGACGAUCAGUAGCCGGCCUGAGAGGGCGGACGGCCACACUGGGACUGAGACACGGCCCAGACUCCUACGGGAGGCAGCAGUGGGGAAUUGUUCGCAAUGGGCGCAAGCCUGACGACGCAACGCCGCGUGGAGGAUGAAGGUCUUCGGAUUGUAAACUCCUGUUGAUCGGGACGAACGGCUCCGACCCAAUACGUCGGAGAGUGACGGUAUCGGUUGAGGAAGCCACGGCUAACUCUGUGCCAGCAGCCGCGGUAAUACAGAGGUGGCGAGCGUUGUUCGGAAUUACUGGGCGUAAAGGGCGCGUAGGCGGCCUUCUAAGUCGAACGUGAAAGCCCCAGGCUUAACCUGGGAACUGCGUUUGAUACUGGAAGGCUUGGAUUCGGGAGAGGGAUGUGGAAUUCCAGGUGUAGCGGUGAAAUGCGUAGAUAUCUGGAGGAACACCGGUGGCGAAGGCGGCAUCCUGGACCGACAUCGACGCUGAGGCGCGAAAGCUAGGGGAGCAAACGGGAUUAGAUACCCCGGUAGUCCUAGCCCUAAACGAUGAGUGCUUGGUGUGGCGGGUAUCGAUCCCUGCCGUGCCGAAGCUAACGCAUUAAGCACUCCGCCUGGGGAGUACGGUCGCAAGGCUG
rnacentral:rRNA from 1 species